CAUGACUCAUGAGUUGUUUAUUCCUAUAGCUGCUCUCAUUGACUUUUUCUCAGUGAAUACUUCCACUCCUGCUCUUCAUGUUCGGUUUCCAGUUACACUACUCUGUCUUUCCUUGUUCCUACAGCUAAAGCAACGUCUUUUCACAAAAUCCUAUAAAGGCUUAAGAAGAUAGACCUGCUUCUGUCAUCUCCUUUCGGGAACUGUUUAACUGGUUGGCUAACUGUUUAACUGGUGUAAAAAGGCAAAAGUCACUGUUGAGCAGAUGGUGUCACAGGAGGCAAGGAGUACGUGGAACAGACUUUAAAACAAACACAGCAGUCUUGAAGUCAAGAGCGAGUAGCUAACAAACUGAUCUGCAAGCAGCAUGCAAACCAGUAGUACAAUCCCACGUCCUCCUCCUGCAGCCAUGUGGCUUAAGAGCCCUUGAAGACAAAGUGGCUACAGGUGUGCAUCGUGGCGCCGCCCACUCAGGGAGUGAAGGGAUCUACAAGGAAGCACAGAGGUCAAAAGUUUGCCUGUAACUGUCCAAAAAUAUAUCCUAGCAGCACCACAUUCACCAUGCAGGGGGUAAGAAGCUACACAACAUACUGUACAUGAGAUUUGAGCCUAUAGCACCUUCUGCUGGCUUGCAGUGACUAAAUCUAACAGUUAUUCCUUAAAAAUGCUUUUUAAACCGAAUAGACUGCAUUUAUGAACAUUGGCCAAAACUGCUCAACAAUGAACCACAUAUGCACCAAACCACCUAAAAAGUGCUUUAAACACCUGCUCAGCCUUUAAGGCAGAUAGAAUUGUAGAUCUAAAUGCCCUCAAGUGCUCAACAAAUUUACUCUGCCAGGGAGACGUGUGAUAUACACUUCCCGUGUUAUACAGAAUUUAUUUGACGUAGAUGCUUAUUAUUAAGCAAAUUUGGAGCGACCGGACCUGAGCAGGAGGGGACAGAGCAAGCAUGACCAAGCCCCAAUCCACCAGUCGGCCUGGCGCCCCAGCAGCCACCGCAGCGCAGUGACAACAUGCCCCCACGGCUGCACGCGGGCCACCCGCAGCACCGGCACCGCCCCGCGGAGACUGCCGAACCCGCCCCUAGAGCGCAGAGGCGCCCGCGGCACGUGUCAGUCCAGGGGAAGCACCGCAAGCCGCCCCCCCCGGCGCAAGCCGCCCCCCCGGCGCAAGCCGCGGCAUCAACAGGCCCCAACAGGCCCUGGGGUGGCCCUGUUGGGGCCACCCCAGGGAAAGGCAGGCGAACCAGACAAAGGCAUCCCACAAGCCAGGCCACCCCGGGCGAGCCACCGCGACGGAUGGAUGAUAGCUAAUGAUGCAAUUAAAAUCGGGGGACAGCUGCCGCUCGGUGGGCCCCUUACCUGACCAGCCCCCCCAAACCCUAAGUGUCUACUGUGCGAUUAAAAUUGGGGGGCAACAGGUCAGUGGCACGGCAGGGGCAAAGGAGCCCCGCAAGGCAACUCCCCUCCCCAACCACGCCCGACCGUAUGCCAACCCCCAAAGUCCUAUACAGUAUGUAUGUGAGGUGGUGCAGUGGAACAGGAAGGACGGGUGCCCCACAUGCCCACACCCUAACGCCGCCCAAACCGAGCAGGGGGGGGAUCAAGGGCACAUGACCAACCGGCCACCAACCACAGCCCACGCUCCGGCAAGCCACAGGCCGCAGGACACAGGCACACAGACACAGGCCCUACCCGGCUCGCCAGGAUGCCCAGUCCGGAUCACCCAACCCCCCAAAGGCAAUACCCCCAAUGCACCCCAACCCCGGAGCCCCACCGGAGGAAGUGUCCACAGCGCCACCCCCAAACCGCCAAACACCACGAACCAGCAACACGCCCCAAGGUAGAUCCAACCGCCACCAGAACCAGCGGGAAUCGCGCCCACGUUCCCCCCCCCUCCGCCACGCCACAGACCGGCCACAACCCCACCCCUCAUCCAUCCACCAACACACCAAGGGAGACACCCCGGAGGGAGGGAGACAACCGCCAGCCAGGAAGCAGAGACCAGCCAGACACCAGCAAGUAGCAGGGACCGCCCGCCAGCCCCCCGCCAGCCCCACCCCCAAGCUCCCGACCAAAGCCACCCCCGACCGCCCCACCCCGGAGCAAGCAUUCCCCCGCCGAUCCCGGCCAGCGCCACGCAGAAGAACACCACGCCGCCCACCCACACGUCCACCCGCCCGCGGCCCCCACACCCCCCGCCCACCAAACCACAGAGGCCCCGAGAGAAAGCAAGGGAUCCCUCCACCCCAGCACCACGCACCCCCCACCCCAAGCCCAAACCGCACAUCCACGACCCCCACCUCCCAGUCACCCGGGGGACAGCCACAGGCGCCAGAGGACAACAAGCAGCUCCCACCUGUCACACAUACAACACACACAUAAAUCAGGAAAAUAAAAUAAAAUAAGUAAUAAAUAAAUAAAUAAAUAAAUAAAUUAAUUAAUUAAAGAAAAGGGCACCCCAACCCACCCUCCCACCCAGGGGAGAUAGAUCCGCAGGGGAAGCUGGGCUCAAGCACCCGCGCCCCCAACAGGGGGAGAGGCCUGCCCCCACACCCCACACCGAACGACCCCACGCGGCAGCCGAGCAGGAGGGCCCAGGGCAGACCAUGCCCCACGCCCAGAGGCAAAGGAGGCGAGGGAGAGCCAGUGCCACCAGCUGCACAUGGGCCCCCCCAGCAGCAGUAGGCGCCUGGCACCCGCAGGAUGCAGCACC